rnacentral:rRNA from 1 species
AACGAACGCUGGCGGCGCGCCUAAUACAUGCAAGUCGAGCGAGAAGACGUAGCAAUACGUUUGUAAAGCGGCGAACGGGUGAGGAAUACAUGGGUAACCUACCCUCGAGUGGGGAAUAACUAGCCGAAAGGUUAGCUAAUACCGCGUACGCUCCUUGGACUUCGGUUCAGGGAGGAAAGCGAUACCGUGGGUAUCGCGCUCUUGGAUGGGCUCAUGUCCUAUCAGCUUGUUGGUGAGGAACGGCUCACCAAGGCUUCGACGGGUAGCUGGUCUGAGAGGACGAUCAGCCACACUGGCACUGCGACACGGGCCAGACUCCUACGGGAGCAGCAGUAAGGAAUAUUGCGCAAUGGGCGAAAGCCUGACGCAGCGACGCCGCGU